rnacentral:rRNA from 1 species
UACGGAGGGGGCUAGCGUUGUUCGGAAUUACUGGGCGUAAAGCGCACGUAGGCGGCUUUGUAAGUUAGAGGUGAAAGCCCGGGGCUCAACUCCGGAAUUGCCUUUAAGACUGCAUCGCUAGAAUUGUGGAGAGGUGAGUGGAAUUCCGAGUGUAGAGGUGAAAUUCGUAGAUAUUCGGAAGAACACCAGUGGCGAAGGCGACUCACUGGCCCGUUACUGACGCUGAGGCGCGAAAGCGUGGGGAGCAAACAGG